GAGAAUUGGACGACUUGAAGGGAGGCGGGGAAGGGGAGGCCGGGGUAGGAGUUGGUUUGCUCUUGUCGGGGCUGCCCCAGACCUCUGUGUUCCAGGAUUUCAGCAGAGUUAAGUACAUACUUCUUUGUCGGGUGCGCCCUCUCUUCUAGGGCAUUCCUUUCGCGCUCUAUUGGCUUUACAGGAAGUGGGAGCUGCGCCUCGGCUCACUUCGCCGGGACACGCCUUCCCGUCCUCCCAGCCCCCAGCCGGCCCCAAACCAAACUCCAUUCCCAGGUUGGGGGGUUCCCGCUGUGUGAGGGCUGGGCCUCGGGCUUUGGACCCGCAGGGGUUUGGACCGGCAGGGGUGACGUGCGUUCGGGAGUCGCAGCGGAAAGCGAGAAAGGCAGUGGGUGGAAAUGGGAAAGGAUGCAUUUGACAAAUCUGAUUCAUCUCUUCAGACCAAGUCCCCGCAACAGGUAGGAACUUGGAAGCGCAGAUGAUACGGUGAUGGUACCGCCUCUUAGGUAUUUCGUUUUAGAAAGUUAAAGAAGCUACUUGGUCACAAAGUACUAACUUCUGGAAGACGGGGAUUGUGGCACCUGACAUAAUAUAGUGUUGUAACUGUUGAGAAAUGAAAUGAAUUCCCAAAGAAAUACAUUUCUAUCAGGAAUGUUAUUACUAUAGGCAGAAAUAACACAAACUACAAAGGAACGUAUUCAAAUGCUUAAGAAAAUGGGAUGAAGGAAAUGGUUUAAAAAUACAUUUACCAACGAAUAGCGCCUCGAAUGUGCAGGGAAACGAAGUAGGCAGCAGCAAGCAACUCAGGUCGGAAGGAAAGGGGGCGGUGUAGGAGUUUUGGGCGCGUUUAAAUUUGGCAAGGUAUGGGGAUUUCUUUCAAGAACUUUUACUCCUCGCCCGCCUCCUUCCCUCCUACUUCUUUACUAAUAUAUAUAUAUACACAUAUGUAUGUAUAUAUAUAUAUGUAUAUGUAUAUAUAUGAGUAGAACAACGUACUGAGAGAUAAAACCUUUAAAAUGAGAAUAAUACUUGCAAAGUUCUCAGUACUUUGUAUACUUUCAACCGCCUAGGCAAACAGAAGCUGUACCUGGAAAUAAUUCACCCUGAAGGUUAACUUGAAUGAAAACAUAGUUCAUCAAGAAUUGGGAGACUUCACUCAUUCCUCUUUAUUGCCAAGACUUUUCUGACUUACAACUUAAGGAGCUUAGGAAAAAACAAGCAAAUAAACAAAAAACUACCUCUUUACCUGGACUGAAGUUCCUGAAUGAAAAAGAAAAUGAGAGGAAGAGUCAGCAUCUGAAGAGAGAUGACUGAAGUUCUUCUAAUGGCGAUUACUAUGUGAAGAUGUCACAGGGCAUCAUGACAUCCACAGGAAAAAGAAAUUUCUGUCUCUGCUGUUUUCACUGCCAGAAACAAUGAAGCAAUGAACAUUGACCUGUAUAGCUGCUUCUUUGGACACAUGUGCAAAUGUUUUCUCUGAUAAAUUCUUAGAGGACGACUUGCUGAGUUAAAGAUACAUGCAGGUGCGAGGGACAUUCCUGGGGAAGAGCCUUUCUUGGCCAUUUACCACAGUGUUUCCUUACUUAAACACCAAAUGGACUUACUAAACUGUACUAGGGCAGAUGGCACAGCAAGACUUAGUCUGUUCCAGUCCAAAGAGAUAAUUUAUGUAAAUUACAUGACCAUAGACAUUAUAUGAUAUCCUCUAACAUCCCUUUGACAUACCAUGGCAAUCUUCCUCCACCGCAUAGCAGUAUGGGAAGUGUCCUUCUAAGUCCUUUCCCAUACAUUUACUUCCUGUCUUACGGAUCUUUGCAUGCCUGCUACUUUGUAAUACCUCUGCUAACGAAUAGAGGAAGCUGCCUUCAGUACUCCAAAUGAGGAAAGAAAUGCUGUUACUGGAUUCCAUUCCUGUCUAUCAUCUUGUUCAAAAGGAGGGGAGUGAGUCAGAUCAAGAGAAUGAGUCACCAAGUCAUAGCCAAGGUGAUAAACCUCAAGACUUGCAUCUAUCUGCUCCAUGGUCAAAGAGGAAAACCUUACCAUCUGAGUGGUGAGAAACCAGAGUGUGUACUAUCUGAACAUGUAAUGUUAUUUUGAGGAAAAAAUA